GACGAACGCUGGCGGCGUGCUUAACACAUGCAAGUCGAGCGGUAAGGCCCUUUCGGGGGUACACGAGCGGCGAACGGGUGAGUAACACGUGGGUGACCUGCCCUUAGCUCUGGGAUAAGCCUGGGAAACUGGGUCUAAUACCGGAUAUGACUCCAUGACGCAUGUUGUGGGGUGGAAAGCCUUGUGCGGCUAGGGAUGGGCCCGCGGCCUAUCAGCUUGUUGGUGGGGUGAUGGCCUACCAAGGCGACGACGGGUAGCCGGCCUGAGAGGGCGACCGGCCACACUGGGACUGAGACACGGCCCAGACUCCUACCGGGAGGCAGCAGUGGGGAAUCUUGCGCAAUGGGCGAAAGCCUGACGCAGCGACGCCGCGUGGGGAUGACGGCCU
rnacentral:rRNA from 1 species